UUCUCUUUUUCUUCAUUCUCAAUGUAGUGAUGAAUAAAUAGCUUGGGUUUUCCCUCUUCUCUCUCCUCUGUCUGUGUCAUUCAGGCUCUGACUACCUUUCUAGAGCAGAUGACAAGUCGUCAUGGAGUCGACCGGACUCAUCAGCCUCUGGACAGUACACGUACACCAUUCCCAGCCCUACAGAGAUACACAUCGUUACCAGACCAGGUCAGACACACCACACAUACUGCUAGCUGUACAUGUAUGCUGACAUCUCCCAACGUUAUUUUCAGAGCUCAUCCAGCGCUUGUGUGCUUGUUUGUAGAGCCUCUCAUGCUGAAGAAUGACGAAAGGCAGAGACUCGCCCGUGAACGAAGGGAGGAGCUGGAGAAGCAGAAUGUGGCACUACAACAAAACCAGGCAAUGUAUGCACAUUUGGUAUGUUUUUGAAGGCUAUUUUGUUUUUAAUCACUUGUUUUUAAUCGCUCUCUCAGAGAAUGAUGGGAAAUGUAUUUUGGUCAUGCGAGACAUUAUGAUGGGUCUAUAUGAGUAGUUCUUUUGUAGCUAUUCUUCACCCACAAAAUGUUAAAAACUAAACAAUCACAGCUGAAACAUCACAUUGACAGCUUUAUAUUUAGUUCUUAUAAAUAACAAUAAUUAGCUUUUGUUACAUAUUUAAUUGUUACAAUUCCAGGCACGAGUGAAAUGGCAUUCACGCAUGUCAUACUUUUGGUGGGACUUAAAGGCAUCAUAUGAACAAAGGCGAUUAUUAAGAAAGUACUAGAGGUCAAAUGCUUGGUCAUGAUGUCAUGUUGCCUUGAAGAGUCUCAGUGGUUUACAAUGAAAACACACAAAUUCUUUAGAUAUGACCUUUGAUCAGAGACUAACUCAAUCCUAAUCAGAGUCUUAAUGGGUAACAAGUGUAGCUUAAAAGCAAAGUUAGAUGUUCAUGUAUUGUAUAAUUCAGUAAAUCGUGUGAAUUUGUAUGUCCAAACAAACAUUCUUCACCAUGUAAAGGGUUACAUUUCUUGCUGAUUUUACCCAUUUUGUUCUUUCUUGUGUCUGUUCUCUUCUGUCUGUAACUGCAUGACUAACUGGAUGGGGCAGGUUGCUGUGGCGAGGUGCAGUUGUUAUGUAAACUCUUGGCGAGGUGGUUACCAGGACACCCAGUUUUAUGUAAGGGGUUAGAGGCCAGGACAGAGAGGCCAGAGAGAGAUUGAUGGAUUAAUUAUGCUCACUUUACUGAAGUGCUCGGAUGCUAAUGAAAUUGAUGAUCCACAAUGUUGAUUAAAGGCAUGGGCCGAUUACUGGUUUCAAGGUAUACCGCGAUUUGAAAAUUUCACAGUUUCAAAACCACUAAUAUCUUCCAUUAUACUGUUCCUGCGGUAUGCACUGUUUUCCAUGUCUCCUCAGAGACUGAAAGAGUAGGAAUCCCUCGGGCUGAGUGCAG
ensembl:lncRNA